AUUGAACGCUGGCGGCAUGCUUUACACAUGCAAGUCGAACGGUAACAGGUUAAGCUGACGAGUGGCGAACGGGUGAGUAAUGCAUCGGAACGUGCCCGGUCGUGGGGGAUAACGCAGCGAAAGCUGCGCUAAUACCGCAUACGGUCUGAGGAUGAAAGCGGGGGACCGUAAGGCCUCGCGCGAUCGGAGCGGCCGAUGUCAGAUUAGGUAGUUGGUGGGGUAAAGGCUCACCAAGCCAACGAUCUGUAGCUGGUCUGAGAGGACGACCAGCCACACUGGGACUGAGACACGGCCCAGACUCCUACGGGAGGCAGCAGUGGGGAAUUCUGGACAAUGGGCGAAAGCCUGAUCCAGCAAAGCCGCGUGCAGGAAGAAGGCCUUCGGGUUGUAAACUGCUUUUGUACGGAGCGAAAAGGUCUCCUCUAAUACAGGGGGCUCAUGACGGUACCGUAAGAAUAAGCACCGGCUAACUACGUGCCAGCAGCCGCAGUAA
rnacentral:rRNA from 1 species